UGUUAACAAUCGAAAGACUUGUUGGAAGACACACCUAUGACAUCUUGGCUGCCGCCAUUCACAAGGCACUCAGAGAAUUCCAUAUACACAAUAAAGUGUUGGCUUGUGUCACUGAUAAUGGCUCCAACUUUGUAAAGGCUUUCAGCAUGUUUGGUUUACACUCGCAGACAGAUGUUAAAGAAGAUAAAGAUAAUGACGAUGAAUUAGAGAUUGUUGAUGUGUCAAGUAUUUUGGAUGAAGGUCAAAACGAGUUCCAUUACGUUCUACCUCCCCAUCAACGUUGUGCAGCACACACCUUGAACUUAGUCGCUGUAAAGGAUAGCCAAAAUGCAGAAAGUGAUCCAGCAUUCAAAAAAGUGGCCAGAUCUACAUUUGCUCGCUGUCAAGCCCUCUGGAACAAACAAAGAAGUACAGUUGCAGCUGAUUUAGUAAAGGAAAUAUUUGGAAAAUUGCUUUACACACCUUGUGCUACUAGAUGGAACAGUUUGUAUGACAGUGUAAACUGUCUCUUGUCUGUUGUUCAGCAACAUGGAGAAGACAUGCUUGAUAAGCUUGUAGA